UGGCAUGCAAGGCCAGGUGUGCACUGGCUCACACCUGUAACCCCAGCACUUUGGGAUGCCAAGGCAGGUGGAUCACUUGAGGCCAGGAGUUCAAGACCAGCCUGGCAACAGGGCGAAACCCCAUCUCUAUUUAAAAAAAAAAAAAGAAGAAGAAAAAACUGGCCUACAAAAGCUUUCAUUGGGAAAAACUCUCUGACAUGAGAGUUGGGCUUUAGGUUACCUGGGUUGCAUGCAUACAAGGUUGUGAAUGCGUUAGCUGAGAGCUAGGAAGAAGCUGCGUGGCAUCAUGAUGCUUUGGUGGCCUCGUCUCCUGUGGAGCCUGUGGAGGCAUGUGUGUGGAUGAGUUGAUUUCCAUGGAGUAACAUUUUUAGUUCUGCAUGUAAGUUUGUCUGGAUAAUCCGUUAGCUGAGAGCUAGGAAGAAGCCGCGUGGCAUCAGCUGGUCUCAAACUCCUGACCUUGUGAUCUGCCCUCCUCAGCCUCCCAAAGUGCUGGGAUGACAGGCGU
rnacentral:lncRNA from 1 species